UCUCCAUUUAAAAUAAAGUUUAUUGAUAGGGGCAUGAGAGUUUAUAUUGAGUUUUAUUUCUGAACUAGCAAGUAGUUUUUGAGGGAUGUUACUGCUAAAAUCUUUUUAAUGAUAGGAAAUACUGUUUGUUUGUUUUAGGAUACAAAAGAUAAAAUGUGAUAUGCUUUUAUAAAAUCUAAUGUUAAAAUGGAGAAUGAGGAAAAUUUAAUGAUUUGAACUCUUGGUUUAUUCAUCCUACUUUGAAACUAAAGAUGCGGGAGUUACCCAAAAGCAAAAAGGCACCAGAAAUGUGUAGAGAGACUGAAAGGCGAUACCAGUUAAGAUGCUUUUAUUUUGAAAUAACGUAAACGAAAUGCAUUUGUUCGUAACUUAACCAGAGUUGAAGAUGCUGUCUUGUUUCCCUUCAGUAUAUACUUGUAAAACAACGAAUUGGAAUAGCAGAUAAUGAAGAAUGAAAGAAGUCGUAGAUAAUUGGAAUAGCUUUUAGAAAUAGAAGAUGAUAAAGAAGACAAUCAAAGGGACAGACAAUUAAAAUAUUGUGGUUAAACCGCUGAUAGAAUAUGAAGUCCGGCCAUUGUUCUGUGGAUUUACCGGGUACAUUAAUAUGAAACCGAGGUCAAGCAGAUCAUCAGAAUGAAUUUUUCUCAGGAGCUGGAGCAGUCAUGCAUAGAGGGGUUAAUAACUAGGUCAAGAGAACCGGUCACUCAGAAGCACUUUACAGUUGGACAUUUCAAUUUAUUUCUAAUUAGUGACCAGAACAUUAUUUGUGUCAACGUUUGAUGGUGUUGACAUUUUAUAUUGCAGGUGUAUAAGGAUUUUCAUUAUUUGUUUUAGCCGUGAUUCAUAACUCUGGAUUGUUUGUAACAGAAAAACCGAGAAAAAACAAUUGAUAACGAAAUUAAACAAAUGUAUUAAAUAACAAAUACUUAUUAAAUGUGUCUUUCGUAA